rnacentral:lncRNA from 1 species
UGGCGGGCCCGACCUUGUAAUAUUUGGGCCGGAGGCAAAGGCUUAAGGUUGUUAAAAUCUCAUAGUACGUGCACUUGACCUUGACCUAGCUUGCUGCAUCUUAACGUAAUGUUUAACUUUUAGAGACCACGAUCAUAUAUAAGCUUAUUGAUAUAUAUACCUGCAGGCUAACUCUUUUUGAUUAAGAAAGCAAUUUGCACUAAUAUAUAAGUGGCCAUAAAAGCUCUCUCUCUCUCUCCUUACAUGGCUGAACAUAAUCAAUUGUUGGAUUGAAAUGCACCUAAAGCUUGGAAAGCUCACAUGAGGAUGAUUAUGUUUGUAUUUUCCACAGUUAUAAAUCCAACUUUAUUGCCUUUCUUCUUGGACUACACAAUUUGCAAACGCAACCAGUGAUGUCAAUGAUGGAAAACUAGGAUAAAAUGAAGCUGCUCAUGGUGCAUGAACUUCUGCCGAGGAACACGUGGGAAGCUU